GGAGGGAGUAGACUCCUGCGCAAACAUCCCCACCCAGGGCUCCGGACCUCGCAGUCCGGCAGUCCUGUCCGCCUGACCUCACCGGACACAGACGUCCCUACCCCCUACUCUGCCCCACACUGUCACAAAGAGGCAGAGUGGUCUGCACCGCCGAGAUCCCGGCAGAGGGCCCGGACGCCCCCCAUCCCGGGUUCGGAAAGUCUUGCUCCGCCGCCUGAGGGACCGUCGGGUGUGCGCGCCCGUCGCGCCUAUCUUGGGGCAGGCACCACACCACUCCGCGGGGCUAUUCCUAGAAUUAGCGUGGCUCUCCUAGCCCUCGUAGGGGUCGCCGGCUGGAGAGAGCCAACUGGAGCGUCGGCUGGGGGGCGGCGCUUGCGCGUCUGCGUGGAGCAGGCCCUCUCUCUGCACGGGGAACCAGGUGUCAAGAGGUUACUCAGCUGUAGGCCAUCGGCCUCUUCAUCCCCAACAGCGUGCCCCAGGCCCCAUUCCCCCUCGCCCUCCUCUCGACUUUUCGCGUCCGACGACGAGGCGAGCCGCGCUCGGAAAACUCAGGCCAAUGCGAGUUCAGCCCUCAACGACGAAAAGGACACAUCGGCCCCCGGCCUCGCAGCGCCGGAGAAAGCAGGGAAAGCGACCUCUGCCCCGGGCCCAGGACCACCCUGGCAGGAGAAGACACCUGGCGACCGGCAGCCCAUCCCGCCGCCGCGGAGACCCGAGUGGAAGAGUGGCCUCUCCUGGAUGGAGUGCAUUUCUUCCCUUCCUCCUCCCCCAGUUCUUAUAUCCCAGAUACUCGCUAGAUUUUCCUUGUUCCCCAAAGAAACAUACCUCCCACUGCCACCGUUAAAUAAAUGAGAGGAAGGAAGGAGAUCCAGGCCUUUUUCUGCUUUUCCCGUGUGCAUGGAAUGGGGUUGCUAAUUAAUAUGGUUUAUUUCUGGUUCUGUGGAGCCUGAAGGAUGAAGGUUGAACACCCUUUCUUGGGGAUGAGACCGAUUAGAGGGAACUGUCCUUGAACCACUCAGCCAGAAUUCAUUUCAGCUUGAAAUCUUUAUCUUCUUGGCUUAAAGGGAAAACUGCGCGUAAAAAAGUACCAGUAGGACUAUGCCAGCUAGUGGAUUCUACUUGAUCUACAUAGGGUCCCUGGGAAGAAGGGCCCUACUCCUAAACUCCUUUUCCAGUCCAGAGAAUGGAUUGUGUGCCCUUGACCAGGUAUCUGGGGAGGAGGGAGGGAGCAAAUGGAAGGCACAGCCGGCUGACCCUCUCCUCCCCUUGGAGCAACCGAACCCCACACGCGAACCCCACACGCGGGGCUUCAACUUGAGGACCAGCAGACAGGGUCUUGGGUGCCUUCUCAUUGUCC
rnacentral:lncRNA from 1 species